rnacentral:rRNA from 1 species
AGAAGCACCGGCUAACUCCGUGCCAGCAGCCGCGGUAAUACGGAGGGUGCAAGCGUUAAUCGGAAUUACUGGGCGUAAAGCGCACGCAGGCGGUCUGUCAAGUCGGAUGUGAAAUCCCCGGGCUUAACCUGGGAACUGCAUUCGAAACUGGCAGGCUAGAGUCUUGUAGAGGGGGGUAGAAUUCCAGGUGUAGCGGUGAAAUGCGUAGAGAUCUGGAGGAAUACCGGUGGCGAAGGCGGCCCCCUGGAC